rfam:Neurospora crassa OR74A unplaced genomic scaffold supercont12.12, whole genome shotgun sequence.
UAUUUAAUUAAUUCUAUUAAUAAUUAUAUAUUUAUUUCAAAAAUUAAACUAUAUAUAUUUAAAUUUAAAUAAUUAAAUUGUAAAACUACAAAUAGUUCAUUAAAUUAAUUAUAGUUUAUUUAAUAGUACCUUACUAUAUAAAUAACCGUAGUAAUUCUAGAGUUAAUAUAUAUUAAAAACCCUAACUUCGGAAGGGGUAUAUUUAUUAAAUUAAAAAUUAAUACCCUUCGGGGCUAAUUAGUAAUUUAUAAUAACUUUUCGAAUCGUAUAACUUUAUACUAGCGAUAGUUUAUUCAAAUUUCUACCCUAUUAAUUUUUAAUAGUUGGAUCUUAGCUAACUAUAGUAAUAAUAGGUAAUAGAGGGUUAGGGUUCAACUCCGGAGAAGGAGCCUAAGAAAUAGCUAUUAUAUUUAAGGAAGGUAGUAAGUACGUAAAUUACCUAAUCCCAAUAUAGGGAGGUAGUAAUAAUAAAUAUUAAUAUAAGGCUUUUUUAGGUCUUAUAAUUAAAAUAAAUACAAUUUAAAUCCCUUAACGAAGAAUAAUUGGAGGGUAAAUUUAGUGCUAAUAACCGCGGUAAUUCCAAUUCCAAUAACGUAUAUUAAAAUUAUUAAGGUUAAAAAAUUCGUAGUUGAACUUUGAGCUCGGCCCGUUAAUCCGCCUUACUAUAUAUAUUAACUAAGUCGGGCCUUUUUUCCUAGAGAACUAUAUACCCUUCACUAAAUAUAUUAGGGAAUUAGGACUUUUACUAUAAAUAAAUCAAAUUACUCAAAGAAGGCCUAUACUCGAAUAUAUUAAUAUAGAAUAAUAAAAUAGGAUGUAUAAUUCUAUUUUAUUAGUUUCUAAAACCGCUAUAAUAAUUAAUAGGGAUAGUCAGGGGUAUUAAUAUUUAAUUAUUAGAAGUAAAAUUCUUAGAUUUAUUAAAGACUAAUUACUAUAAAAAUAUUUACUAAGGAUAUUUUUAUUAAUUAAGAACGAAAGUUAAAGGAUUGAAGAUAAUUAAAUAUUAUUGUAGUUUUAAUUAUAAACUAUAUUAAUUAAAGAUCGGACGGUAUUAUUUUUUGACCCGUUCAGCACUUUACGAUAAAUUAAAAUAUUUAGGCUCCUAAGGGAAUAUAGUCGCAAGGCUGAAAUUUAAAGAAAUUAACGGAAGAGUACUAUUAGGGGUAAAGCCUACAGUUUAAUUUAAUUUAAUAUAAGGAAAUUUAUUAAAUCUAAAUAUAAUAAGGAUUAAUAAAUUGAAAACUCUUUCUUAAUUUCGUAGGUAAUAGUAUAUAGCCGUUUUUAAUUAAUAAAAUAAUUUAUUUACUUAAUUACAAUAACAAAUAAGACUUUAACCUACUAAAUAGCCCGUAUUGUUUUAAUAGUAUACUAGCUUCUUAGAGGGAUUAUUAGUUUAAAUUAAUAGAAAUUUAAGGUAAUAAUAGGUCUAUAAUACCUUUAAAUAUUCUAGACUAUAUAUGCGCUAUACUAAUACAAUUAAUGAGUAUUCCCUUAGCCGGAAGGUCUAGGUAAUUUUAUUAAACUAUAUUGUACUAGGGAUAGAGUAUUACAAUUAUUACUUUUUAAUAAGGAAUUCUUAAUAAGUAUAAAUUAUUAAUUUAUAUUAAUUAUAUUCCUACCUUUUAUAUAUAUUGCCUAUUACUACUAUUAAUUAAAUAAUUUAGUAAAAUUUCCGGAUUGGCCUAGGGAGGUCGGUAACGACUACCUAAGGUUGGAAAACUAUUUAAAUUUAAUUAUUUAAAGGAAAUAAAAGUCGUAAUAAAAUCUCUAUUAAUAAAUUAGCAGAAAGAUUAUUA